UUAGCUAGCCAGCUACACACUGAACAUGUCAGGGUUUAAAGAAGAUUUGGAUGGUGCAACAUGACAGGCCGGCUUGGUUCAUUCAGGCAACGAUUGUAAAGAUUUACAAAGAACAUUUUUAUGGCGUUUCCUCUCUAACUGAGAUGUUUUGGGACCAACUGGUGGAAUUGCUGUGGACUAAGUACACACGGCGAUAGACUGGUAAGUUUAACCAUGUAUUAGCUAAUUUAAAUGUGUCACAUUACU